rnacentral:rRNA from 1 species
AAGGUAGCAUAAUAAAUUGCCUCUUAAUUGGUGGCUAGAAUCAACGAACAUACGAAAGCUUAACUGUUUCAUUAUUAUCCAUAAAAACUAUCCUUUAAGUGAAAAGACUUAAAUAAAAUAAAAAGACAAAAAGACCCUGUUGAGCUUUAUUUUAUAAGAGGGGACCAUAAAAAACCUAUAAUAAAUAACCCACCCUCUCUAAAAAUUCGGUUGGGGCGACCAGAGAAGACCUAAAUCUUCUCCUCAAAAAAGAAAAUCCUUCUUUAAAAUGAUCCAUAAAAAUGAUUAACAGAUCCAGCUACCACAGGGAUAACAGGCUAAUCUUCUUUAAGAGCCCAAAUUGACAAGAAGGUUUGGCACCUCGAUGUUGGCUUAGGGUACCUAUCGGACGCAGAAGUCUAAUAAGUGGGUUUGUUCAACCCUUAAAACCCUACGUGAUC